rnacentral:misc_RNA from 1 species
UCACCGUUUACACGGGCAGUUUCCCUAGAGUUCCCGGCAUUACCCGCUGGCAACUAGGGAUGGGGGUUGCGCUCGUUAUGGGACUUAACCUGACACCUCACGGCACGAGCUGACGACAACCAUGCAGCACCUUGUAAGUUGUCUUGCGAAAGAUCUGUUUCCAAACCGGUCAACCUACAUUUAAGCCUUGGUAAGGUUCCUCGCGUAUCAUCGAAUUAAACCACAUGCUCCACCGCUUGUGCGGGCCCCCGUCAAUUCCUUUGAGUUUCAAACUUGCGUUCGUACUCCCCAGGUGGGAUACUUAUCACUUUCGCUUAGCCACCCAGAAUUGCUUCCGGACAGCUAGUAUCCAUCGUUUACGGCGUGGACUAC